GGCAACCUGGCCGAGCGGUCUAAGGCGCCAGGUUAAGGUCCUGGUCUUUUCGGAGGCGAGAGUUCGAAUCUCUCGGUUGUCA
rnacentral:tRNA from 1 species